GCGGGACUGCCCGGCACGAGCCGUUUGAAUAUCCCUGAGGCUAUAAGCAAUUCCUAGGGAGCUGUCCCUGCUCCGGAUUACGGGUUCGUCCUGGGGUCUAGGGCAUUACGGCACCCACCUGACGUUUAGGCGUCAGAGGAUUUCCCGAGCACCGACCCAUGGUGGUUCCGUC
rnacentral:sRNA from 1 species